rnacentral:rRNA from 1 species
AUUGAACGCUGGCGGCAGGCCUAACACAUGCAAGUCGAGCGGAUGAAGGGAGCUUGCUCCUGGAUUCAGCGGCGGACGGGUGAGUAAUGCCUAGGAAUCUGCCUGGUAGUGGGGGAUAACGUCCGGAAACGGGCGCUAAUACCGCAUACGUCCUGAGGGAGAAAGUGGGGGAUCUUCGGACCUCACGCUAUCAGAUGAGCCUAAGUCGGAUUAGCUAGUUGGUGGGGUAAAGGCCUACCAAGGCGACGAUCCGUAACUGGUCUGAGAGGAUGAUCAGUCACACUGGAACUGAGACACGGUCCAGACUCCUACGGGAGGCAGCAGUGGGGAAUAUUGGACAGUGGGCGAAAGCCUGAUCCAGCCAUGCCGCGUGUGUGAAGAAGGUCUUCGGAUUGUAAAGCACUUUAAGUUGGGAGGAAGGGCAGUAAGUUAAUACCUUGCUGUUUUGACGUUACCAACAGAAUAAGCACCGGCUAACUUCGUG